rnacentral:rRNA from 1 species
AUUGAACGCUGGCGGCAUGCUUUACGCAUGCAAGUCGAACGGUAACAGGCCUUCGGGUGCUGCCGAGUGGCGAACGGGUGAGUAAUGCAUCGGAACGUGCCCAGAGGUGGGGGAUAACGCAGCGAAAGCUGUGCUAAUACCGCAUGUGAUCUGAGGAUGAAAGCGGGGGACCAGGCAGCAAUGUUUGGCCUCGCGCCUUUGGAGCGGCCGAUGUCAGAUUAGGUAGUUGGUGGGGUAAAGGCCUACCAAGCCGACGAUCUGUAGCUGGUCUGAGAGGACGACCAGCCACACUGGGACUGAGACACGGCCCAGACUCCUACGGGAGGCAGCAGUGGGGAAUUUUGGACAAUGGGCGCAAGCCUGAUCCAGCAAUGCCGCGUGCGGGAAGAAGGCCUUCGGGUUGUAAACCGCUUUUGUACGGAACGAAAAGGCUCUGGCUAAUACCUGGGGCUGAUGACGGUACCGGAAGAAUAAGCACCGGCUAACUACGUG